AGAUGGCGACCGGCGCACGGGUGAGUAACACGUAUCCAACCUGCCGAUAACUCGGGGAUAGCCUUUCGAAAGAAAGACUAAUACCCGGUGGUAUAAUCAGACCGCAUGGUCUUGUUAUUAAAGAAUUUCGGUUAUCGAUGGGGAUGCGUUCCAUUAGGCAGUUGGUGAGGUAACGGCUCACCAAACCUUCGAUGGAUAGGGGUUCUGAGAGGAAGGUCCCCCACAUUGGAACUGAGACACGGUCCAA
rnacentral:rRNA from 1 species